rnacentral:rRNA from 1 species
GAUGAACGCUAGCUACAGGCUUAACACAUGCAAGUCGAGGGGUAACGAGAGGAAAGCUUGCUUUCCUUGUCGACGACCGGCGCACGGGUGAGUAACGCGUAUCCAACCUGCCCCCAACUAGGGAAUAACCUUGCGAAAGUAAGACUAAUACCCUAUAAUUUCCUCAGAUGACAUCUGACGAGGAAUAAAGAUUUAUCGGUUGUGGAUGGGGAUGCGUCUGAUUAGCUUGUUGGCGGGGUAACGGCCCACCAAGGGAACGUUCAGUAGGGGUUCUGAGAGGAAGGUCCCCCACAUUGGAACUGAGACACGGUCCAAACUCCUACGGGAGGCAGCAGUGAGGAAUAUUGGUCAAUGGGCGGAAGCCUGAACCAGCCAAGUAGCGUGCAGGAUGACGGCCCUAUGGGUUGUAAACUGCUUUUAUACAGGAAUAAAGUUAGCCACGUGUGGUUAUUUGUAGGUACUGUAUGAAUAAGGACCGGCUAAUUCCGUGCCAGCCGCCGCCGUAA